rnacentral:rRNA from 1 species
GAUGAACGCUGGCGGCGUGCCUAAUACAUGCAAGUCGAGCGAACGGACGAGAAGCUUGCUUCUCUGAUGUUAGCGGCGGACGGGUGAGUAACACGUGGAUAACCUACCUAUAAGACUGGGAUAACUUCGGGAAACCGGAGCUAAUACCGGAUAAUAUUUUGAACCGCAUGGUUCAAAAGUAAAAGACGGUCUUGCUGUCACUUAUAGAUGGAUCCGCGCUGCAUUAGCUAGUUGGUAAGGUAACGGCUUACCAAGGCAACGAUGCAUAGCCGACCUGAGAGGGUGAUCGGCCACACUGGAACUGAGACACGGUCCAGACUCCUACGGGAGGCAGCAGUAGGGAAUCUUCCGCAAUGGGCGAAAGCCUGGCGGAGCAACGCCGCGUGAGUGAUGAAGGUCUUCGGAUCGUAAAACUCUGUUAUUAGGGAAGAACAUAUGUGUAAGUAACUGUGCACAUCUUGACGGUACCUAAUCAGAAAGCCACGGCUAACUACGUGCCAGCAGCCGCGGUAAUACGUAGGUGGCAAGCGUUAUCCGGAAUUAUUGGGCGUAAAGCGCGCGUAGGCGGUUUUUUAAGUCUGAUGUGAAAGCCCACGGCUCAACCGUGGAGGGUCAUUGGAAACUGGAAAACUUGAGUGCAGAAGAGGAAAGUGGAAUUCCAUGUGUAGCGGUGAAAUGCGCAGAGAUAUGGAGGAACACCAGUGGCGAAGGCGACUUUCUGGUCUGUAACUGACGCUGAUGUGCGAAAGCGUGGGGAUCAAACAGGAUUAGAUACCCUGGUAGUCCACGCCGUAAACGAUGAGUGCUAAGUGUUAGGGGGUUUCCGCCCCUUAGUGCUGCAGCUAACGCAUUAAGCACUCCGCCUGGGGAGUACGACCGCAAGGUUGAAACUCAAAGGAAUUGACGGGGACCCGCACAAGCGGUGGAGCAUGUGGUUUAAUUCGAAGCAACGCGAAGAACCUUACCAAAUCUUGACAUCCUUUGACAACUCUAGAGAUAGAGCCUUCCCCUUCGGGGGACAAAGUGACAGGUGGUGCAUGGUUGUCGUCAGCUCGUGUCGUGAGAUGUUGGGUUAAGUCCCGCAACGAGCGCAACCCUUAAGCUUAGUUGCCAUCAUUAAGUUGGGCACUCUAAGUUGACUGCCGGUGACAAACCGGAGGAAGGUGGGGAUGACGUCAAAUCAUCAUGCCCCUUAUGAUUUGGGCUACACACGUGCUACAAUGGACAAUACAAAGGGCAGCGAAACCGCGAGGUCAAGCAAAUCCCAUAAAGUUGUUCUCAGUUCGGAUUGUAGUCUGCAACUCGACUACAUGAAGCUGGAAUCGCUAGUAAUCGUAGAUCAGCAUGCUACGGUGAAUACGUUCCCGGGUCU